rnacentral:lncRNA from 1 species
CAUCAUCAUCAUCAUCAUCCCCAGCAUCCAUCCCCUUCCCCGGGGAAACGCGCGGCCGCUGCCCCGAAAUCCCCGGGUCACCCCAAAAUCCUGCCCCGGGCACGGGGAGCGACGCCGGAGCCAAAGGAGACCUGGAAAAUCGCGUUGUUCCUAUGCUUUAAUUGGGAAUUAUCAGGGUUUGAGGCCGGUUUCAGAGCCUUGGGAUAUUGCAGCACUUGGAUUUGAUACUGGGAAUAGGAAAUUUCCAGCUCUGAGGAAAUAUCAGGGCUUGGAGCUGAUUUAAAAACCUUGGGGAGCUGCAGAACACGGAUGGUUUUAUUGAAGAUUUAUCAGUUUGAGGCCGAUUUCAGAGCCUUGGGAUAUUGCAGCAGCUGGAUUUGAUACUGGGAAUAGGAAAUUUCCAGCCCUGAGGAAAUAUCAGGGCUUGGAGCUGACUUAAAAACCUUGGGGAGCUGCAGAACACGGAUGGUUUUAUUGAGGAAUUAUCAGGGUUUGAAGGUGAUUUUAAAAUCUCAGAAAACUGCAGAACACCAAUGGUUUUAUUGAAGAUUUAUCAGGAUUUGGGGCUAAUUUCAGAGCCUUGGGAUAUUGCAGCACUUGGAUUUUAUCCUGAGGAAAUAUCAGGGCUUGAGGCUGAUUUUAAAAUCCUGGGAAAUUGCAGCAGCUGGAGGAUUUUAUUGAGGAAUUUUCAGGGUUUGAGGCUGACCUGAAGAUCCUGGAAUAUCACAGCGUUUGGAUUUUGCACUGAAGGGAUAUCAAGGCUCGGAUAAUGUUGGAAAAUUGCAGUACCUUGGUGGUUUCUUGGAGAAAUACCGAACAGAAUGAGGAGUUGUGUUUGCAGAAACAGAGAUCCCAGCUGCACAUCAAGCAAGAGCAUGGAUUAUUUACGAGGUUUUAAUUCCUCAUGGAAGUCAUCAGGGCUGAAGCCUCCCAGCCCUUUAAUGGAUUUUCAGCAGCCCAGGGUAAAAUUUCUCUCAGCCUCAAGGCAGGAGCUGCAUCGAGCUCCUCAGAGCUUUGGUUGUUCUUCAUCCACGGUGGGAAUAACACCCAGGCCCUGUGCCAGCCCAGAAAUCAUUCAAUGGCAUGAGUUUUGCUCAGAAAUCAUUCAUGGGAUGAGUUUUGCUCAGAAAUCAUUCAUGGGAUGAGUUUUGCUCAGAAAUCAUUGCUCAAUAAUCAUUCCUGGGAUGAGUUUUGUUCAGAAAUCAUUGCCCAGAAAUCAUUCAUGGGAUGAGUUUUGCCCAGAAAUCAUUCAUGGGAUGAGUUUUGCUCAGAAAUCAUUGUUCAGAAAUCAUUCAUGGGAUGAGUUUUGCUUAAUAAUCAUUCACAGGAUGAGUUUUGCCCAGAAAUCAUUCACAGGAUGAUUUUUUCUCAGAAAUCAUUGCUCAAUAAUCAUUCCUGGGAUGAGUUUUGCUUAGAAAUCAUUGCCCAGAAAUCAUUCACAGGAUGAGUUUUGUCCAGAAAUCGUUAAUGGGAUGAGUUUUGCUCAGAAAUCAUUCACAGGAUGAGUUUUGUCCAGAAAUCAUUGCUCAAUAAUCAUUCACAGGAUGAAUUUUGCUCAGAAAUCAUUCACAGGAUGAGUUUUGCUCAGAAAUCAUUGCCCAGAAAUCAUUCACAGGAUGAGUUUUGCUCAAUAAUCAUUCACAGGAUGAGUUUUGCUCAGAAAUCGUUCACGGGGUGAGUUUUGCUCAGAAAAAUGUUGAUUGUGGUUUUGGGGAGGGAGGAAAGUUCAGCUCCUCCAUCGCCUCCCAUUGAUUUUGUGUUGCUCGAGGUCAUUGGAAAUGCUUUUGUUCACCCAGCUCUGGCUUUGCAAAGGCAGGGUGAGUAUUUAACCCACUGGGGUUAAAAUCUUCAUUUAUUUGGGUUAAAAAUGUUCAGCCAUUGGGGUUUAAAAUAUUCACCCACUGGGAUUAAAAAUGUUCCUUUAUUGGGGUCUAAAGUGUUCACCCAUUGGGGUUUAAAAUGUUCAUUCAUUUGGGUUAAAAAUAUUCAUCCAUUGGUGUUAAAAAUUUUGAUUUAUUGGUGUUAAAAAUGUUCAUUUAUUGGGGUUAAAAAUGUUCAUUUAUUGGCGUUAAUAUGUUCAUCCAUGGGGUUAUGAUUAUUUCAGGGUCAAAAUCUUUAUCCAGGGGGAUUAUAAUUAUUUUAGGGUUAGAAAUCUUUAUGCAUAGGGUUUCAUCUAUGAGGUUAUAAUUAUUUUAGGGUUAGAAAUCCUUAUCCAUUGGGGUUAACAAUGUCCAUCCGUGGGGUUAUAAUUAUUUCAGGGUUAAAAUCUUUAUCCAGGGGGUUAAAAAUGUCCCUGGAGCUGCUCCAAUCUGCUUAGGGCCGUGCUGAGCCCCGGCCCCAGGUAAGCUCCUUACCCUGCUGCCAUCCCAGCCAUGGACCCAGCCUGGCCACACAGCCCCAAAAAAUGCCUUUGGUCCCUCCCGGGCACCACCAGGGUGCUGGAGGUAAAAUAACAGCUUUUAUUUUAAAAAAAAUAACAUUAAAAUGCUCCUUUAGGGGAAAAAAAAUGAAUUAGGGACAAAGAUUGGUGAUAAAAGUGCUUGGAAGUGGGGGAAAAAAUCAAAUUUUUGAGGCUUUUUAAAAUUCUGAACAACUCCCUACCACAGCUGCUUUGUGCCUCAUCUUCCUGAGCUGUUUUUAGGGGAUGAUGAGGAAAACGGAUGGAAGAGGUCACGGAUCCUUUUUGUGGAGAAGAAAAGGAGGUGUUCAAGGAAAAAUGGGGAGAAAAAUCGGGGGAAAUGGAAGAAGAAUGGGGAAAUUGAAUGCUGUCACAAUUGCAGGAAUGAGCUGAUCCUGGCUGGGCUUUUCCUGCAUUUCUCCUCCGCUCCAGGAAUAGAGAACAAUUUGAGCCUUGAAAUAGGAAAUUUAGAAACAAUUUGGGCCCUGAAAUGGGAAAUUUAUCAACAAUUUGUGCCCUGAAACAGGAGCUGGGCAGCAGCACCUGGGCUGGGCAGAGCUGCCAGAGCUGCAGCCCUCUGAAUUAUUGAUUAUUUAUGGAUUAUAGACACUUCCCGGGGCAGCAGCGGCGAGGUGAGGUGUGCCAGGGGCUGAAUUCCAAGGGGGGCUGGAGAUGGGGAGUGGGUUAAUCAACGCCAGUUAAUUAAGUGAUUAAAAGGCAAAGAGCACAGUGUCAGGUAAAGUGAGAUAGGGAAAAGAAAAUCACAGAUCCAGAUAAAGUGAGAUAGAGAAAAAAUAUCAAAGAUCACAGCUCCAGAUAAAGUGAGAUAGGGAAAAGAAAAAUCACAGAUACAGAUAAAAUGAGAUAGAGAAAAGAAAAUCACAGAACACAGCUCCAGAUGAAGUGAGAUAGAAAAACCCCUCAGAUGGUUUCCAUGUGGGCUGAGGACAUCCCUGGGGAUGAGGCCUCCUGCAGAAAUCUUUUUGGGGUUUCUACUCCAAAUCCCUUUGGAAAAAAACCUUCCCAAUGCUGACAUCUGCUGAAGAACUGCUUAAAACCCCGGGCAGCAAAAACCUAAAUAAUGUAUAAACCAGGUGUUUUUACUACUGGUGGCUGUGGGUAGGAAAAGCCUAUCAUAGAAUUAAAAAACCCUAUAAAUAAUGCAUAAAAAUGGGGCAUUUCUCUCUCGGCUGGCAGACAGAGAGCAUUGAUGGGGAGGGAAAUCAUCAUUUGGUGCAUCUGCAAACCCCCGGAUGGAUUUGGUGAAUAAUUUCCUGGUUGGACAAAGCCCUGCCAAACCAGGGGUGAAGGAUCUGAAUGAAAAGCAGGAAUUUCAUACAAAAAAAAGUCACAGACGGGGAGAUAACGGGCUGGGAUUCCUUGGGAUGUUGGGCAGAGCCCUCUGCCCACGCCAGGGGAUGGAUCAAGGGGAUUUUUAGUGUCCCUUACAACCCAAACCAUCCCGUGGUUGUACCCACAGCAAACCCCACCUUCACCUGCAGCUUCAGCCCGCAGCCCCCAGCUCUAAUUAAGCUCUAAUUAACAGCACCUCGAGGCCAGGAGGGGUCUCACCCCUGCAGUGGGGUUAUUAAGGGAGUGGAGAUGGGGCUGCCAUGGGGUUUGGGCCAUUCGUGUCCCUGUCACCCCCUCACCCCAAAACCCCUCAGCCAUGGCUCCCCUCACCCCAAAACCCCUCAGCUGUGGCUCCCCUCACCCCAAAACCCCUCAGCCAUGGCUCCCCUCACCCAAAACCCCUCAGCUGUGGCUCCCCUCACCCCAAA